AUUGAACGCUGGCGGCAGGCUCAACACAUGCAAGUCGAGCGAGCGGCGGACGGGUGAGUCAUGUCUGGGAAACUGCCCGAUGGAGGGGGAUAACUAUUGGAAACGGUAGCUAAUACCGCAUACCAUCAGAUGUGCCCAGAUGGGAUUAGCUAGUAGGUGGGGUAAUGGCUCACCUAGGCGACGAUCCCUAGCUGGUCUGAGAGGAUGACCAGCCAAACUGGAACGGAGACACGGUGCAGACUCCUACGGUAGGCAGCAGUGGGGAAUAGUGCGCAAUGGGCGCAAGCCUGAUGCAGCCAUGCCGCGUGUGUGAAGAAGGCCUUCGGGUUGUAAAGCACUUGCAGCGAGGAGGCGUUACUCGCAGAAGAAGCACCGGCUAACUCCGUGCCAGCAGCCUCGGUAAUUC
rnacentral:rRNA from 1 species